rnacentral:rRNA from 1 species
UACGUAGGGUGCGAGCGUUGUCCGGAAUUACUGGGCGUAAAGAGCUCGUAGGUGGUUUGUCGCGUUGUCCGUGAAAACUCACAACUCAAUUGUGGGCGUGCGGGCGAUACGGGCAGACUGGAGUACUGCAGGGGAGACUGGAAUUCCUGGUGUAGCGGUGGAAUGCGCAGAUAUCAGGAGGAACACCGGUGGCGAAGGCGGUUCUCUGGGCCUUACCUGACGCUGAGGAGCGAAAGCAUGGGGAGCAAACAGG